rnacentral:rRNA from 1 species
UACGGAGGGGGCUAGCGUUGUUCGGAAUUACUGGGCGUAAAGCGUACGUAGGCGGCUUUGUAAGUUAGAGGUGAAAGCCCGGGGCUCAACUCCGGAAUUGCCUUUAAGACUGCAUCGCUUGAAUCAUGGAGAGGUGAGUGGAAUUCCGAGUGUAGAGGUGAAAUUCGUGGAUAUCGAGAAGAACACUUAGGGCGAAGGCAAGACUCUGGACAAAUGCUGACGCUCAUGCACGAAGGCUAGGGUAGCGAACGGG